rnacentral:rRNA from 1 species
CAAUAGCGUAUAUUUAAGUUGUUGCAGUUAAAAAGCUCGUAGUUGGAUUUCGGAUGGGAUUUGCCGGUCCGUCGUUACGAUGUGCACUGGCCAGUCCUAUCUUGUUGUCGGGGACUAGCUCCUUGGAUUCACUUCCGGGGACUAGGAGCUGACGAGGUUACUUUGAGUAAAUUAGAGUGUUCAAAGCAAGCCUACGCUCUGAAUACAUUAGCAUGGAAUAACACGAUAGGACUCUGGCUUAUCUUGUUGGUCUGUGAGACCAGAGUAAUGAUUAAGAGGGACAGUCGGGGACAUUCGUAUUUCAUUGUCAGAGGUGAAAUUCUUGGAUUUAUGAAAGACGAACUUCUGCGAAAGCAUUUGUCAAGGAUGUUUUCAUUAA